rnacentral:tRNA from 1 species
GGGGAUUUAGCUCAGUGGUAGAGCGCUUGCCUAGCGCAAGGCCCUGGGUUCGCAAGGCCCUGGGUUCGGUCCCCAGCUCCG